CUCCUUACUGUACUGCAGGGACCCUGGAGAAGGAUAAAUUAUAUACAUAGAAUCCUGAUUGUAAACCGGUAUAUGUACAGUGUAUACUGUACAACAAUAAAACUGAAUCAAAUACUUCAGUUUGCACUAACCUGCGCUGCAACUCUCCUAUCAGAAUUAAUAUUCAGAAUCGCUGGUAGAGGUAGAGUGGGCGUUCCUCUCUCCCCCUCCCCCCCCCUUCAUACUUCGUCUCUCUGCGUCCUGAGAGCUCGGAGUAUAGAAGCAUUAGAGAUGUCAACCUGGACAACCUCCUUGGAAAGAUACCAAAGACGAAGUAUAAAUGAAGAUCUUUUCCCCCGCUUGCAUUAGUGAAUUUUUUGACGUUUAACAAAAACAAAAACCAGGCUGUACGCCAAAUAAUUCUUUCCAUUUGUGAAUCUUUUACCUACGUUAUUUGGAAGAACCCUGAAAGGCGAAUCAGGCAGAAGUUACGAAUCAGGCAGACAUCAUUUGGAAAUCCCGGAUUAACUGCAUAUGUCCACCAUGCUUUUUAGGGCAAAGAAG